GGACUACUCGGGUAUCUAAUCCCGUUCGCUCCCCUGGCUUUCGCACAUGAGCGUCAGGGACUUGCCAGGACGCUGCCUUCGCCUUCGGUGUUCUUCCAGAUCUCUACGCAUUUCACCGCUCCACCUGGAAUUCCGCGUCCCUCUCAAGCCCUCAAGUCGACCCGUUUUCCAAGGCCUGUCAGAGUUAAGCCCUGACCUGUCACUCGAAACGUAACCGACCGCCUGCGUGCGCUUUACGCCCAAUAAAUCCGGACAACGCUUGCCCCCUACGUAUUACCGCGGCGGCUGGCAC
rnacentral:rRNA from 1 species